rnacentral:rRNA from 1 species
AUUAAAGGAUUCCGGUAAAGGAUGGGGAUGCGUUCCAUUAGGUUGUUGGUGAGGUAACGGCCCACCAAGCCUUCGAUGGAUAGGGGUUCUGAGAGGAAGGUCCCCCACAUUGGAACUGAGACACGGUCCAAACUCCUACGGGAGGCAGCAUG